GGUGGCUCAGGUGGUAGAGUGCUUGCCUUGCAUGCAUGAGGUCCUGGGUUUGAUUCCUUGGCACCA
rnacentral:tRNA from 1 species